CACGUAGGGCGCAAGCGUUGUCCGGAAUUAUUGGGCGUAAAGAGCUCGUAGGCGGUCUGUUGCGUCCGCUGUGAAAACUCGGGGCUUAACCCCGAGCCUGCAGUGGAUACGGGCAGACUAGAGUUCGGUAGGGGAGACUGGAAUUCCUGGUGUAGCGGUGGAAUGCGCAGAUAUCAGGAGGAACACCGGUGGCGAAGGCGGGUCUCUGGGCCGAUACUGACGCUGAGGAGCGAAAGCGUGGGGAGCGAACAGG
rnacentral:rRNA from 1 species